UGGGGAAUAUUGGACAAUGGGGGCAACCCUGAUCCAGCCAUGCCGCGUGAGUGAAGAAGGCCCUAGGGUUGUAAAGCUCUUUCAGCGGGGAAGAUGAUGACGGUACCCGCAGAAGAAGCCCCGGCUAACUCCGUGCCAGCAGCCGCGGUAAUACGGAGGGGGCAAGCGUUGUUCGGAAUUACUGGGCGUAAAGGGCGCGCAGGCGGUCGGUUGCGUCAGAUGUGAAAGCCCCGGGCUCAACCUGGGAACUGCAUUUGAUACGGGCUGGCUUGAGAGCGGAAGAGGAGUGUGGAAUUCCCAGUGUAGAGGUGAAAUUCGUAGAUAUUGGGAAGAACACCGGUGGCGAAGGCGGCACUCUGGUCCGUUUCUGACGCUGAGGCGCGAAAGCGUGGGGAGCAAACAGGAUUAGAUACCCCCGUAGUCC
rnacentral:rRNA from 1 species